AUAUACAUAUAUCUAUUUUUUUUUUAACCAAAAAUAAUAAAGAAUUACUGCAAUGAAAUUUAAUGUGACACAAUUAACAGCUGUAGUGCCUGUUUAAUAAACGUAAAUCGUUCAAAUCAAAAGAAAUUACGUGUAAUUAUAUGAUACGUUAUUAAAAGCGCGUGCGUUUGGACGUCAAAGUAAACACAGCAGAUCCCAUACAGAACAGAAACAACAGUUUGAGGCACAUUUGUAGACGGUUGAAGAGUGUCGACCAUGGAGGCAGCAACAGCGACUCUGGUUGGCGAGCCACAGUUGCCAACGGCGCCCGAACUGCCCUCCACAUCAUCAAAUGGCAGCAGCAGCAGCAACAACAACAACAACAACAACAACAACAAUUCACCCACAAAUGGGUCGGAGCGCGUAGAUACGGACAACAUUGGCUGGGCCAGGAAUCCUGCUGACGCCACAUCUGAGCUGCGCCAGCGUGCAACAUCAUAUUCUUUCACGGGCAGCGCCCUAGCCAGUGGCAAUUUUGCAGACAUCAAGGAGCCGGGCGCAGCUGAGGCGACUCCGUCGUCAACAUCAUCAUCAUCAGCAACUGGACCGGCUAACGAGGCCGGCAGCAAUGACAAGGACAAGGAGCCCAGCGAGGAGUCGCUGUACGAGUGUAAUAUCUGCUUGGAUACAGCCAAGGAUGCGGUGGUCAGCAUGUGUGGCCAUCUAUUCUGCUGGCCCUGCUUGCAUCAGUGGCUGUUGACGCGCCCCAAUCGCAAGCUCUGCCCCGUUUGCAAGGCAGCCGUUGAUAAGGACAAAGUAAUACCGCUUUACGGUCGCAAUAGCACACGCCAGGAGGAUCCACGCAAUAAGGUGCCACCACGUCCUGCUGGCCAGCGUACAGAGCCCGAGCCAGCUCCUGGCUUUCCGGGUUUUGGUUUUGGGGAUAGUUUCCACGUGUCCUUUGGCAUUGGUGCUUUUCCUUUUGGUUUCUUUACAUCAUCGCUUAACUUUGGCGAGCCGCGUCCAGCUGCGGCUAAUCGCGGCACCACACAGUACGACGACGAGCAGACGCUGUCCAGACUGUUUUUGUAUCUCGCCUUUCUCUGCAUCGGUUGGCUGUUGUUUGCCUAGCAACCUGUCGACAAGGCGGCCCGUCAAUAAACAACAAUGCACCCCAACAACAAGAACAGCAGCAACAAUAGGAAUGACUACAGAAUCAACACAGCAACAACAACACUUGAAUUUGUUUUACUUUCCAUUUGAAUUGAUUUUUUUUUUUUUUUUUUUUUUUUGAUUUUUUGAAAUUGUACAUUUUGUUAAGUUUCGGCGGGGUAAAGUCGCAAACAUCGUGGAAAGGAUUGCUGCGCCCCGAUGCUAAAGUAUCGAUCGUCAGCGCUACUAAAGUGAUCACUUCUUCAAUCCCGUUGCAUAUACAAUCCUUUCUUCGUGUACUUUAAUCGCUAUUGAUGAAAAUGAAAACGACAUUUACGAGCAUGUAUUGUAUAAAAUAAAUUAAAAUAUACAAACAACCAAAAAAUAAUGAAAAGACAACUCAUCUUCUUACGAUUAUGAGUGCAUACAAGCAUGUAGAAAAACAAAAACAAAUUUGGAUUUUAUAUUCUAUGUACAAUGCCCAAUGAAUUAUGUACGCAGUUUCAAGCUUUUGCGUUUAAUAUGUAUAUGUGUGUAAUAAUAAAAUAUAGUUAAUGGCAAUGCAA